rnacentral:ribozyme from 1 species
UACCCCACAAACACGGGUUCUUUUUACAUUGACAGAAAGAAAUGUUAUGAAAUUUCUCAUUUGUUGAAAGAAAAGAGACAAACAUACAGCAAUAGCUCUUCUUCUUCUUCUUUCUUCUCUUCUUUCUCUUCUUUCUUCCGCCUGGUAACGUGUCGACAAGGAAAUGCUGUGAGGUUCUCCAUCAGUUGAAAGAAAAGAC